UACGGGGGGAGCAAGCGUUGUUCGGAUUUACUGGGCGUAAAGGGCGCGUAGGCGGCGCAACAAGUCACUUGUGAAAUCUCCGGGCUUAACCCAGAGCGGUCAAGUGAUACUGUCGUGCUAGAGUGCGGAAGGGGCUACUGGAAUUCUCGGUGUAGCGGUGAAAUGCGUAGAUAUCGAGAGGAACACCUGCGGCGAAGGCGGGUAGCUGGGCCGACACUGACGCUGAUGCGCGAAAGCCAGGGGAGCGAACGGG
rnacentral:rRNA from 1 species